rnacentral:rRNA from 1 species
AACGAACGCUGGCGGCAUGCCUAACACAUGCAAGUCGAACGAGACCUUCGGGUCUAGUGGCGCACGGGUGCGUAACGCGUGGGAACCUGCCCUUAGGUUCGGAAUAACUCCCCGAAAGGGGUGCUAAUACCGGAUAAUGUCUUCGGACCAAAGAUUUAUCGCCUUUGGAUGGGCCCGGGUUGGAUUAGCGAGUUGGUAGGGGAAAAGCCUACCAAGGCGACGAUCCAUAGCUGGUCUGAGAGGAUGAUCAGCCACACUGGGACUGAGACACGGCCCAGACUCCUACGGGAAGCAGCAGUGGGGAAUAUUAGACGAUGGGCGAAAGCCUGAUCCAGCAAUGCCGCGUGAGUGAUGAAGGCCUUAGGGUUGUAAAGCUCUUUUACCCGAGAUGAUAAUGACAGUACCGGGAGAAUAAGCACCGGCUAACUCCGUG